UGGUUCUGGCAUCGAUGAAGAACGCAGCGAAAUGCGAUAAGUAAUGUGAAUUGCAGAAUUCAGUGAAUCAUCGAAUCUUUGAACGCACAUUGCGCCCUUUGGUAUUCCGAGGGGCAUGCCUGUUCGAGCGUCAUUUCAACCCUCAAGCUUCGGCUUGGUAUUGGGCUCUCGUCCGCCAUACUGGACGUGCCUGAAACUCAUAGGCGGUUGUGCUCAGCUCCUUAGCGUAGUCAUAUCUUACCGCUCUGGAGGACUGGGUACGGCCCGCCUGAGAACCCCCCAUAUUUCUCUAGUUUUGACCUCGGAUCAGGUAGGGAUACCCGCUGA
rnacentral:misc_RNA from 1 species